CAAAAUCGGUUCAGGAGUUUUGAAGCCUAUUCGAUGCGAACAAACAAAAUAUAAGUAAAGAUUUCAGAAACGUGUGCAGCCAAACAGCCUCGUCCGAGACUCGGCCGCGACUCAUUUCCAAACUCAACAUAAACACACUACUCAAAUAUAAUUCACAAAAACGCAAAAAAUAUUUAAUUUAGCAAAAAAAAAAAGCAAGCCUAAAGUUAAUGCUUUAGCCCACUUAUUGGCAGAACGUCACUCCAGGCCACGCUCCAGGCUCACGUUAAUCCGCAAAGUUGUCUGUCUGACACGUCGGAUGAGUCUCGACUCUCGACUCGACAGAUAUGAGACUGAGCCACAUGGAAUACAGUGAGCGUGGAAUAUUUAUUUAUUAAUAAGGGAUGGUAGUUUAGUGCGCAUCUAGCCUUUGCAACACCUUUAAACUCUGAUUUAUAAUCACAGUCUGAGAACCGAAACGUAUUUCCGUCUCUACUGACUAGUAAGAGAAGAAAAAAGAAGAUAUGCAAUGCGCUUCCAAUCGAAAAACAAAUGUACGGGUCACUGGCUGAUAUUAAAAAUCAGAGUGUACAAUGUUUGUACUUUUAUUUUUUCUGUGACAUUCCGCGAACCGAGACUAUAGUACUACAAAAUAUUAUAAUAAUUUAUUCGUAUAUUAUGAGCGUAGGUACUUAAUUGUAUUUACACUUUGCUGCGUGUGUGCUCUCAGAAUAUAGUAUAAGAGCUGACUCCCGAAAAUUAUAUUAAGCUUACCUACCGAGGUAAUUACCAUAUUGUAUUAUAGUUUUUAUUUAUUUUAAUAUAAAAAUAUAUAACAACAAGUACGAGAGGAACCUCUGAGCUCGUUUGAAUAGAGUCGGGUCGAUUCUUGCUCCGUAUUAAACUCGUGAAACUUCAAACUAGUCUCAUUUAGACGAAAGCUAAGGCCGACUGGGGUAAUAUUAUGUUGAACUGUGCAAUAUACUA